UAUAUCUCUCUCGAUAUAUAUAUAUAUGUGACCACCAUUUAGGUGUUUGCAAAGUCCUUAAAUUUUCUCAACAAAAAAAUGAAUUGGAAGUUGGUUUUGCUUACUGGUUGGAUUCUCCUCUCGUCUAUUGCAUUAAACCCAACUUUGGCUAAAGUAACUUAUCCAUCUCUCACGACAAGGAAAGGGAGGAUCGGAGAUAUACACAUCAGCAAAGGAAUGAAGAUUGGCUUUAGAGGCAGUUUUUCUAGAUCUGCUUAUCAUGGAAACGAUCCACCGAGUCAUAAUUUCUAAUUAGUUAUAGCAUGUGGAUUUUAUCGAUCUGUUCUAUACAUCUUAACUUGUGAUUUCUGCAUAUUUGGUAAGUAGUUGUUUGAUUAUGUGUAAUACUCUAUGAAUAAAUGAAAUGGAACUUGGAUAUAUAUAUAUAGUUAAAUGAUUUAAUAGUUAACUACAACUGAUCUGUAAUUGAGUGACAAUGAGAUUUUUUUUUUUUACUUUCGUACCAAAAUUGAUGAUAAACAUCGGACUUUUCAACUCAUGCAUGCAAAAGGAAAAAUUAAGGAGGCUAAAAAAGUCAACAGUAGUGUUCAUUACAUGCAUUGACUUAUACUGUUAUACAUAUCACCAACUGUGGCGAGAGAACGACCCCUGAUGAAAUAAUCUCUGCCUAACUAUAAACUAGUUUAUAAGAUACUAUUUAUUUAUAUAUGCUCCGGAAGAAAACUAGCUAGAGCGUUGUAUUCUAAUUCUUAUAUAUACACAAAAAAAAAGGGGCAAAUAAAAAGAAUGAGUCCCAAGUUCAUUCUAAUAGCUUCGCUGCUACUUUUAUGCAUCGCAUCUUCCAAUUCGAUCAUCAUAACAAUUCCCAAAACCCAGAAAAUGAGUAAGUCUUUUUUUACAAUAUUUGAUUCGUGUGCAAAUCCAACUAUUGCUAUAAAGAGUUAUAUAUAACUAUUGCUAUAAAAUAGUUUUGAUGUGUAACAAGCAAAUGAAGAAGAAGGUAGAAAGAUUCACGUUCACAAAGGAAAGCAGAUCGCUGUAAAGGUCAGCCGUUCACCUCCGGCAAAAGGCUGGAUUUGUUGCAAUUAAUAAUUAAAAGAAUUACUUGUGAACAUUUUCAUAAGCUUGAAAGACUAGUAGUUGUUAGAGCAUCCCCAUUGGUUAUACUUUGGGAUGUUUUUUUUUAUAAUAAUAAAAUUAAAAAUAAAUAAAAUUUUAAUCGUAGUUAUCUCAAAACUUGUGUCUCUGCUCAUAUCAUUUUAGAUACUCGCAGGCACUCAACGUAUUUGGUUGUAUUUUAUUUUUUUUCUCUUUUCUUCAUUUGCUUCUCUCUUUUCCGAUACCAAUGAAACGAGGAAAGCAUGAAUCGAUUUAUUAAAAUCGACGAGAACAAAACAAUCGAAAUUCUGAUCGGUUUCCAAAUAAAAUGGAUCUCUCCUAGUCGUCUUCUUCUUCCUGAAAAUUUUCCUUCUUUGUUUCAAGAAAUCUUGGAUCAGAUAGCAGACCGAGGCUGGUUACUGCCUCCCCUGAAGGAUAUUCGGGUCAUGUUGACGGUAGAUUAAGAGAAGCGAGGUUGAACAAUCCUAAGGGAAACACGGUGGAUGAUAGAGGGAAUAUCUAUGUUGCAGAUACUGUGAAUAAUGCUAUCCGGAAGAUCAGUGAAGCAGGUUGAUUUACAGGCAUAUACGAAAAUUAAGAUACUGUGAACACCCUUGCAAGGUUAACCAAUGUGGAUGCUCUUAUGUCUCGAUCAUUAAUUAAGGAGCUUUCGGCCCAUUUACACGCAUAUACAGAAAUUAAGAUGUAAUUCGUUUAUGCUAUCUUAUUAUAUAAA